CGGAAGUUACCAGAGAUGGUUUCGUGCUCGAAAAGAGAACCGUAACACAGGUGCUGCAUGGCUGUCGUCAGCUCGUGUCGUGAGAUGUUGGGUUAAGUCCCGCAACGAGCGCAACCCUUGUCAUUAGUUGCUACGAAAGGGCACUCUAAUGAGACUGCCGGUGACAAACCGGAGGAAGGUGGGGAUGACGUCAAGUCCUCAUGGCCCUUAUAGGUGGGGCUACACACGUCAUACAAUGGCUGGUACAGAGGGUUGCCAACCCGCGAGGGGGAGCUAAUCCCAUAAAACCAGUCGUAGUCCGGAUCGCAGUCUGCAACUCGACUGCGUGAAGUCGGAAUCGCUAGUAAUCGCGGAUCAGAAUGUCGCGGUGAAUACGUUCCCGGGUCUUGUACACACCGCCCGUCACA
rnacentral:rRNA from 1 species